rnacentral:piRNA from 1 species
UGACGGAAGGGAUGGAACGGUGAUUUGGA